rnacentral:lncRNA from 1 species
UUUAAGCAAUCCCAUCACGAAAUCUAUUGUGAUAUAUUCAUAUUUUUAAUCCAGGAUCAAUAAUGACUGAAAUAACCCGUUUGGGUGCUGAUACUUAGUUUAGCCUGUUGAUAUACCAGACACUUGGAGACAAAGUCAGCUAUCUCUCUUUUUAUCCUACUCCACCAAAAUCGAGAUUGCAUACUUUGAUACAUUUUAGUACUUCUGGGAUAUAUGACGAACUUUGAGCUGUGAACCUCUGUU